rnacentral:rRNA from 1 species
UACGUAGGUGACAAGCGUUGUCCGGAUUUACUGGGCGUAAAGAGCGCGCAGGCGGUCGAUCAAGUCGGGUGUGAAAGCCCCCGGCUCAACUGGGGAGGGUCAUUCGAUACUGAUCGACUCGAAGGCAGGAGAGGGUAGUGGAAUUCCGGGUGUAGUGGUGGAAUGCGUAGAGAUCCGGAGGAACACCAGUGGCGAAGGCGGUUCUCUGGGCAUGAUCUGACGCUGAGGAGCGAAAGUGUGGGGAGCGAACAGG